GGAGACUCAGCCGUUGGGAAGUUAAGCGGUGCCGAGGCUUUCCAGGUGGAACUAUUCUGAGUAUGAUCAGAAGAACAAGCUAUACUGAAAAAAGAAAUGUUGUGAAGGUCUUGUCAGUGGUACUGAGACUAAUUGGAGAUACAUGGGGUAUUUGGAUGUGCAUCGAAGAUACCAAUAUGGAGGUGGAAGAAAUUGCAAGUGACAAAGCAGGAAAAUCCAUGGCUUUGGUUCCAACUGGAUAGGACAGGAUGAGAGAAGCCCAUCUCUCUGCUGCCAAGGAAGGACACCUGCAGUGCACGCCUGGUUCCAGCUCCAGGCAGGGAUCCAGUUCCUACUAUGGAUCAAUCUGGAUUCUCACCUUCUCCCUUUUUCCUGUGAACCCAGGAAAAGCAGCAACUUAACUUUUUUCAGGUCUUUCAACAACUCCACAGUGUGUCCUUUUUAUUUAAGCCUCUCUGGUUGAAAUACCUGGUUUAUACUCACUAUUGUAAUAUCAAAGGUAAGAACUUUUUUCACUCUGAAUUUAAACACGGUUUAACAUUGAUCACUUAGCUUUCCGAUCAUUAUAAAUACAGAGUGAAAUACAGAAACUGGUAGAGACAUAGUUCCUUGAGCCACAUGCCCGAAUAGACUGUGACAAGGAAGCUUCUAGCAGUAUCUUUGUUAGUGAGUAAGAAAUGUAGCUUGAACUAUCCAGGUACAUGUCGUUUAUUUGCGGCACUAGCAAAGGAAACCAAGUGUCCCCCAAACUCCAUUUAGUGGGCAUUUUGUCAAAAGUGUAUCUACAUAGACAACACAACAGAGAACUCAGUUCAUUCUGGUAACUUUAAAGACAUUUUUGUGGUCACUGUUGCAUACUUGGUCAGAAGUUAUCAACAAUCUGCAAUGUAGAAGCUGGAGUUACCUCAAGUCGCAGUAAAGUCCAUUCAAUAUGUAAUAAGAGACUAUGUUCUCCUGGGAAUAGGAACCCUCCUGUCCCUUCUCCUCUAACAUGUGGAGUGUUACUAGUUAGUUUUUAAUUGUCUAGUUGUCACAAGCUACAAUCACCUGAGACUGCCUGACUUGAAGAAUGGUCCAGAUUGGGUUUCCCUGUGAGCAUGUCUGUUUGGCUUGAUUAUCAAUUGAUGGAGGAAGAUCCAACUCAUGGUGAGUGGCUCCCAGCCCUAGCUGGGUGUGUGCAGUGAAGCUGAGCUGUGUGAGAAUGAAGAAAUGUAGUUGAAGAUAGCAAUGAGCAAGGACACUGCCUGGGUACAACCAUUUCUCUCUGCAUUUGACUGUGGACAUGAGGGAUGAGCUGCUUGCAUUCCUGUCUUGGCUUCCCCAGAAGAAAGAACCAUGAUGCAGGGUUGUAAACCAAAUAAACCCUUUCCUUCUCCAUGCAUCUUUUUGACAGGGUAUUUGUCAUGCCAGCAGAAAUGAAAUGAGAACACAAAGGAACAAA